rnacentral:lncRNA from 1 species
CUAGCUACUGUCAGCAAUGGCUAACCUUCGUUUUUAUCCCAUGCCUUUUUGCAGCCUUGGGAUUUCUUAUAACUAUAUUGUGAAUCUGGACAAAACAAGGCGGGAAAGGGGCGGCAGAGGCUCAUUGAAGACCCAAAUAAAUGCCUCUUUGUUCAGUGAUGACUGAAACAAUGAAAAAAUACCACCCAGGAGCUAGACCACAUGCAGAUGUGAACCACAGCUUCGCCAGAUGGUAACCAACAAGUGCCAAGCUUUAAAGAGAGAAACUCCACCAUUUAGGAUAUUUGAAAAAGUCCAUGGGUGUGUCUUGAGGUUUCAAAACCAAACUAAGAUGGUCAGAUGGUUUGCUGUACUUUGCAGAAUGCAACAUAUCUUCCUGACAACUACUUAAGUUGAACUGCUUAAAUUCAUGGAGCUCUGAACUGCAAGGAUUGGUGAAGAAGAGGUAUUUAACACUUCUUUACUUCUGACUCUCCUUUUUUUCCCACUGUACCUUCAAAAGGUGUGAAUUUUGUAGAUGUAACUGAUGCCUCUUAGCCCUUUAUCUUGAUCUUCCUUUUAGCUAGUUUGAGGAUAAUGUCACUGUGCAAGGCAGCCACACCAGUUUUGAGGAUCUUAACCAUGCUGGUGAUUCAAAGAAAAGAUUACUGCAACUCAUAAGCCUCUCAUUGCUAUUAAAAGUUGUUGGAUGACUUCGGAUGUCAUCUUUAGAGGAUUUGCUCCUCUUUAACUCAACAAAUCUUAAGAAAAACAUGUGCCAAAUCACAAUGCAUGUUUAUUUCCUAUUUGUUCAGUAAUAACGUAGGUCAUGUUCUGAAUUCAGACGUACUAUAUUCUUACAUACCUAUCUCAUUAAAAAUUGCUGGUAAGCAUACUUAUAUGUAUUAGUCCCGUAGAAGACUUUGUCACGUUACCUUGUAUUGCAUAAGAAGAAUGAGAAUCCAGCCACAUGCUGUUCGACAUUCAGCAUCAGUUGAUAGUGACCAUGCGUUCACAAUUCUUUUCAGUAAAAUAACAUAUAUAGCUCUAACACAUAGCUCUGAGCACUGGGCUCAUUGAUGAGAAUAAAAAUACAAAGUUAAACA